UUUUCUUGCGCAGACUAGGUGGGAGGCUAUGAUCAUUUCUUUCUGGGGAAAUGUGAGCCGUCAGUGAGAGACCACUCUUGAAGAGCUAGAAUUCUAAUGGCGAUCCUUUUAUCAGGACGCUUGACAGUUUCAGAUGGGCAGUUUGACUGGGGCGGUCGCCUCAUAAAAGGUAACUGAGGCGUACAAAGGUUCCUUCAGAAUGGACGGAAAUCAUUCGGAGAGUAUAAAGGUAUAAGGGAGCUUGACUGAAAGACCUACAAGUCGAACAGGGGCGAAAGCCGGUCUUAGUGAUCCGACGGUGCCGCGUGGAAGGGCCGUCGCUCAACGGAUAAAAGUUACUCUAGG
rnacentral:rRNA from 1 species